rnacentral:rRNA from 1 species
GAUGAACGCUAGCUACAGGCUUAACACAUGCAAGUCGAGGGGCAGCGGGAUUGAAGCUUGCUUCAAUUGCCGGCGACCGGCGCACGGGUGAGUAACGCGUAUCCAACCUUCCGUACACUCAGGGAUAGCCUUUCGAAAGAAAGAUUAAUACCUGAUGGUAUGAUGAGAUUGCAUGAUAGCAUCAUUAAAGAUUUAUCGGUGUACGAUGGGGAUGCGUUCCAUUAGGUAGUAGGCGGGGUAACGGCCCACCUAGCCAACGAUGGAUAGGGGUUCUGAGAGGAAGGUCCCCCACAUUGGAACUGAGACACGGUCCAAACUCCUACGGGAGCAGCAGUGAGGAAUAUUGGUCAAUGGACGAGAGUCUGAACCAGCCAAGUAGCGUGAAGGAUGAAGGUCCUACGGAUUGUAAACUUCUUUUAAUAAGGGAAUAAACCCUCCACGUGUGGGAGCUUGUAUGUACCUUAUGAAUAAGCAUCGGCUAACUCCGUGCCAGCA